GUCCAUUUGGAGAUAUAAGUGGUCUGACCUGCUCACUGGUAAAUCACUUAAGAGCCGCGGUAUACUGACCGUGCAAAGGUAGCAUAAUCAUUAGGAGUUUAAUUGGAGUCUGGAAUGAAUGGUUGGACAAAGGAAAAGCUGUCUUUAUAAUAUAUAUUGAAGUUUACUUUUAAGUGAAAAGGCUUAAAUAUAUCAGAGGGACGAUAAGACCCUAUAAAGCUUUAUAAAUAACUUGAGUUCUAGUCGGUUUAAGUGAAUAAGGAUUAGAUUUAAUUAUUUUAUUUUGUUGGGGUGAUGUGAGUAUAAAUAUUAUUAACUGCUUAAAAGGAAUACAAGGAUAAAAGAUUUAUUAAUAAGUGCAUGAUCCUUUUUAGAGAUUAAAAGACUAAGUUACUUUAGGGAUAACAGCGUUAUUUCUUUUGAGAGUCCAUAUUGAAAAAGAAGAUUGCGACCUCGAUGUUGAAUUAAAAUAUCUAUAUAAUGCAGCUGUUAUAUAAGAGGGUCUGUUCGACCUUUAAAUUUUU
rnacentral:rRNA from 1 species